GAAUAGUGCGUAUAAUGCGGGCGUCGAGAUACGGAAACCGGUGCAAGUCCGGUGCGGUCGUGCCACUGUAAUCGCUGCUGUCCAACAGCCGAAAGCCAGACCCGAAUCGAAGCAGCAACC
rnacentral:ncRNA from 2 species